rnacentral:RNase_P_RNA from 1 species
UGGGUCGGCCAGACGGUCGCGUCGGAGACACGCCCUCGCGAGGGGGAACGGCUCCGCCGAGGACCGUCCGGGCUCCGCAGAGCAGGGCGGUGGGUAACACCCACCCGGAGCAAUCCGCGAGAAAGUGCAACAGAGAGCAGACCGCCACCGGCGCAAGCCGGCGGUAAGGGUGAAACGGUGGUGUAAGAGACCACCAGGGGCCCGAGUGAUCGGGCUCGCUGGGUAAACCUCGCCCGGAGCAAGGUCAGACAGACACCGUCGAGGCGGCUCGCUGAGGUGUCGGGUAGACCGCUAGAGGGCUGCGGCAACGUAGUCCCGAGAGAGAUGGCCGUCGAACGGGAGAGAUCCCGGGAACAGAACCCGGCGUAUCGGCCGGCCCACUUG